rnacentral:rRNA from 1 species
AACAAACGCUGGCGGCGUGCCUAACACAUGCAAGUCGUACGAGAAAUCCUGGGCAACUGGGAGAGUAAAGUGGCGCACGGGUGAGUAACGCGUGGGUAACCUGCCCUUGAAUUGGGGAUAACUCCGCGAAAGCGGGGUUAAUACCGAAUGAUAUUCCGAUUACUCCGGGAAUUGGAAUCAAAGGUGGCCUCUGCAUGCAAGCUACUGUUCAUGGAUGGGCCCGCGUACCAUUAGCUAGUUGGUAGGGUAACGGCCUACCAAGGCAUCGAUGGUUGGCUGGUGUGAGAGGAGGGCACGGCACAUUGGAACUGAAAGACGGGCCAGACUCCUACGGGAGGCAGCAGUGGGGAAUCUUGCGGAAUGGGGGAAACCCUGACGCAGCAACGCCGCGUGAGUGAUGAAGGCCUUCGGGUCGUAAGGCCCUGUCAGGUGGGAAGAACCGUAUCGGUACAAACAGUGCCGAUGCUUGACGGUACCACCGGAGGAAGCACCGGCUAACUCCGUGCCAGCAGCCGCCGUAACAC